rnacentral:lncRNA from 1 species
AAGUUGUUUAAAUACCCAAAACAGCAAUUACAGAUAUCCAAAAGUACAAUAUAGGAUAAAAAUUCAACAACAGAAUAAAUGCACGUAGUGAGAAAAACCAGAACCAAACUGUAUUUAACUUGAGUCCGCUCCUACACUACUUAACCCUCAAAUAAUUAAUUAAAAUUGACAUGCAAACCACCCGCUAAAAUUGCCAUCCUAAAUCCAAUUAAUUUUCAUUAAACUCUACAAGAACCGAGUUGAUUUCUACCACUUAACAAUUCAAAAGCAUAUCAAAAUAAUAAAACCUAAACCUCAAUUCCAAUAUCCAAAAAGCACACAAUUUUAUUCAUUCGUGUAUUUAUUUACACAGCCAUUUCUCACCUUCUUGUACUUCUUCGCCGGCCGUCCGCUCACCAAACACCUGAGAGAAUUUCCACUCGAGUGGCUGCGGUGGACCCAUCGGAGCUGCCGCUACCUCUCCCCCAUCACCACCGUUCAUUUUCCCCCACUCUUUCUCCCAAAAUUUAAAAAAAAAAAAAAAAAAUGCCGACAAUUUUCACUUCAAUUAAUUACCAGACUGAAAAAUGAUUUUUCAAAAAAAAAACGAUCUGGUCAGUAUUAGGUCUAGAAAUUUGAGAAUCUGUCGGAGAAGAAGAUCGGAACAGCAGCUUCAUGAAAAAUGUUGGAGUCAGAUUCAACCAUUUCUGAAUUUGUACACAUAUACAACAUCGAUUAGAACAAAAGAGGAUCCACACUGUCUCUCUAUAUAAACGUCUGCAUAUAUAGAUUGCGCAGGAAAACGAGAAAUUUCACUACAGCGCUGUUUUCUUUCUUGCUCUGUCUAAAAACAUUGCUAACACAAUUUUUUUCUCUUCUUUCCUCGGGACCCACUACCUCACCUGACCUGUUUUGCAUUCUACGAAAUCAUAUACUUUUGCCUUUGUGUGUUUGUAAAGG